UCUCCUUCUCUUCAUCUCAUUCGUCCCUCAGUCUCCUCCCUCUUAAUUUAUUUUUUCAUUCAUCCGCCCAUUUACCUGCCCUUUCACUCUCUCUUACAUGCGCCCGUCCGUGCUCCUUCUCUUCCCUCCUCUCUCCUCCUUCCCGAAACACCUCUCCUCGCUCCCUGACCUCGCGCUGAUGUGCGCCAACCUUACUUCCCUCCACUACCAUCCCCUUCGCCCCUUCCCACUAACCUUCGAUGCCCUUGAGGACCCCUUUCUCGACCACCCCCGCCGCAACAACAACAGCCGCCUCGAGCACCACGUCUCCCCUGCCGCCGCCAUCGCUGCCGUGCGCCGCGCCCUCGACCUCGGGAUCAACUUCUUCGACACCUCCCUGUCCGUAUCCUUAACUCUAGCCUUAGAUCUCCUUCUUUGUAUAAGCUUCGAGGUUCGCUGCUGGGCAAGUGCCUCAAGGAGAUCGGGGCGCGGCGGGAGGAGAUCGUCGUCUCCACCAAGUGCGGGCACUACGCCGACGGGUUUGACUUUAGCGCCGAGCCGUUGAUGCAUGGGGAACAGUUGACAUUUUAGUAAAUAAUGCAGGAAUUACGAAGGGAACACAUUGCAGAUGAGAAUGAAGAAGUCACAGUGGCAAGAAGUAAUUGACCUAAAUCUUACUAGCGUCUUUCUCUGUACCCAGGUGUGUAUUUCCAUAAUCUUAAUUCAGCAUAAUAAGUCAGCUACAUUAAGAUAUUGAAUCAUCUAUUUUUCUGUUAUCUAUCUGUUCUUUGCAGGCUGCAGCAAAAGUGAUGAUGAAAAAGAAAAAGAAACAGCAUAGAUGAUGAGAUGCUCCUACAUGUACAUGAUAUUGAGUUCACCCCUUCCCGCAAUCAGUGUAUUUGAAUGUUAACAACUGGGAGGGGAUCGUGCGGCGCGUGUGGCCGAACACCAAGUACUUGGACAUGAUCAUGGGCAAUGGCACAGUACAAAAUACCCAUGCAAGCUAUCUUACAUUGACUGAGUUAUUGCAUUCGGGAAUAUUACCAUAAAUAAAAAUUUUCUAUAUUGUUUUCAUCAA